rnacentral:rRNA from 1 species
AAUAGAUACCCAGGUAGUCCAUGCCGUAAACGUUGGGCACUAGGUGUGGGCUCAUUCCACGAGUUCCGUGCCGCAGCAAACGCAUUAAGUGCCCCGCCUGGGGAGUACGGCCGCAAGGCUAAAACUCAAAGGAAUUGACGGGGGCCCGCAUAAGCGGCGGAGCAUGCGGAUUAAUUCGAUGCAACGCGAAGAACCUUACCAAGGCUUGACAUGCACGGGAAGCCACCAGAGAUGGUGGUCUCUUUGGACACUCGUGCACAGGUGGUGCAUGGUUGUCGUCAGCUCGUGUCGUGAGAUGUUGGGUUAAGUCCCGCAACGAGCGUAACCCUCGUCCCAUGUUGCCAGCGGGUUAUGCCGGGGACUCAUGGGAGACUGCCGGGGUCAACUCGGAGGAAGGUGGGGAUGACGUCAAAUCAUCAUGCCCCUUAUGUCUUGGGCUUCACGCAUGCUACAAUGGCCGGUACAAAGGGCUGCGAUACCGUAAGGUGGAGCGAAUCCCAAAAGCCGGUCUCAGUUCGGAUUGGGGU